GAUGAACGCUGGCGGCGUGCCUAAUACAUGCCAGUCGAGCGAACGGACGAGAAGCUUGCUUCUCUGAUGUUAGCGGCGGACGGGUGAGUAACACGUGGAUAACCUACCUAUAAGACUGGGAUAACUUCGGGAAACCGGAGCUAAUACCGGAUGAUAUUUUGAACCGCAUGGUUCAAAAGUGAAAGACGGUCUUGCUGUCACUUAUAGCUGGAUCCGCGCUGCAUUAGCUAGUUGGUAAGGUAACGGCUUACCAAGGCAACGAUGCAUAGCCGACCUGAGAGGAUGAUCAGCCACACUGGAACUGAGACACGGUCCAGACUCCUACGGGAGGCAGCAGUAGGGAAUCUUCCGCAAUGGGCGAAAGCCUGACGGAGCAACGCCGCGUGAGUGAUGAAGGUCUUCGGGUCGUAAAACUCUGUUAUUAGGGAAGAACAUAUGUGUGAGUAACUGUGCACGUCUUGACGGUACCUAAUCAGAAAGCCACGGCUAACUACGUG
rnacentral:rRNA from 1 species